CUGCAUCGCCAGCCAUGAUGAUUCAGAGCUCCACGCUGGGCAAGCAGGAAUGUAAUUCAAAAGUUUCCGCGGGGCUUUUACUGUUUACCUGCCCGCAUGUGCCUCGAGUUCAGAUUUCUGUCCACAGCAGUC